rnacentral:rRNA from 1 species
GAUGAACGCUGGCGGCGUGCCUAAUACAUGCAAGUCGAGCGAACAGACGAUGAGCUUGCUCCUCUGACGUUAGCGGCGGACGGGUGAGUAACACGUGGAUAACCUACCUAUAUUACUUGUAUAACUUCGGGAAACCGGAGCUAAUACCGGAUAAUAUAUUUAACCUCAUGGUUCAAUAGUUAAAUACGUUUUUUCUGUCUCUUAUAGAUGUAUCCGCGCCGCAUUAGCUAGUUGGUAAGGUAACGGCUUACCAAGGCGACGAUGCGUAGCCGACAUGAGAGGGUGAUCGGCCACACUGGAACUGAGACACGGUCCAGACUCCUACGGGAGGCAGCAGUAGGGAAUAUUCCGCAAUGGGCGAAAGCAUGACGGAGCAACGCCGCGUGAGUGAUGAAGGUCUUCGGAUCGUAAAACUCUGUUAUUAGGGAAGAACAAAUGUGUAAGUAACUAUGCACGUCUUGACGGUACCUAAUCAGAAAGCAACGGCUAACUACGUG